rnacentral:rRNA from 1 species
GACGAACGCUGGCGGCGUGCUUAACACAUGCAAGUCGAACGGAAAGGCCUGCUUUCCCUUGUGGAUUGCGGGUACUCGAGUGGCGAACGGGUGAGUAACACGUGAGUGAUCUGCCCCCAACUUGGGUAUAAGCCUGGGAAACUGGGUCUAAUUCCCGAUAGGACUGCAGGGUGGUGCCUGUGGUGGAAAACGAUUUUCUAGUGGUUGGGGAUGAGCUCGCGGCCUAUCAGCUUGUUGGUGGGGUAAUGGCCUACCAAGGCGGCGACGGGUAGCCGGCCUGGGAGGGUGGACGGCCACAUUGGGACUGAGACACGGCCCAGACGCCUACGGGAGGCAGCAGUGGGGAAGAGUGGACAAUGGGCGGAAGCCUGAUGCAGCGACGCAGCGUGGGGGAUGACGGCCUUCGGGUUGUAAACUCCUUUCGACCGCGAGGAAGCCACCUGGUUGGAAGGGUGGUGACGGUAGUGGUAGAAGAAGCACCGGCUAACUACGUG